UACAGAGGUGGCAAGCGUUGUUCGGAAUUACUGGGCGUAAAGGGCGCGUAGGCGGCCUUCUAAGUCAGACGUGAAAUCCCCCGGCUUAACCUGGGAACUGCGUCUGAUACUGGGAGGCUAGAGUGCGGGAGAGGGAUGCGGAAUUCCAGGUGUAGCGGUGAAAUGCGCAGAUAUCAGGAGGAACACCGGUGGCGAAGGCGGUUCUCUGGGCCUUACCUGACGCUGAGGAGCGAAAGCGUGGGGAGCAAACAGG
rnacentral:rRNA from 1 species